rnacentral:lncRNA from 1 species
AGUGGAGAAGAGAGCCAUGGCUACACCCACCCAGAGCUCCAACACGCAAGAGGCUGAGAAGGAAGGCUGAGAAUGCUGCACUAGCACAUGCUGGGAGAAUGUGAUAGAGAGACUGAAGUGGAAGUAGGAAGACCAUGAGCUGAAAAAGAAGAAAACCAAAAAACAUAAGUCCAGUUCCAUCACCUUUCUAAAGACAUUCAGCCAUGAGCAGUGGAGAAAAAACACAGUCCCUGUCCUUUUCAGCUUCAAGGAGCAUGUCAAGAAAAAUGUCUGAAACCUAGGUCACCAGUGCUUGUCUUGGCCCCAAGUCCACCAGAAGACCCUGACUCCUUCAGAGCAGUCUUACUUUUCUUCCUUCUUGUCUUUCCUCCUGUCAAUAUCUAAGGUAAUAUUAUCUUUAAUAUAAACCUUAAGUGUUUGAUAAAGGCAUUAUC